GUAGUUUAUAUACACAGUGUGAUCAAACU
rnacentral:piRNA from 1 species